rnacentral:pre_miRNA from 1 species
AAUAAACCAAUUUUCCACUUUUUACCUUUAAUUUUUGAGUCUUUGUCUUAUUCAAAUUUUUUUUGCGAUUGAUAUUUUUGUUUUUAUUAGAUGAUAAACCAUGAAUAGUAUUUUACGCAUGCUAAUUUUUUUCUAAUUUUCUAAAAAGUUUUCAAAUAAAACGGAUGGUCAAACGUUGGACGUAGAAACCGAAAAAUUCGUUUUUU